rnacentral:rRNA from 1 species
AGCUUGCUUCUAUGACGUUAGCGGCGGACGGGUGAGUAAAAUGUGGGCAACCUGCCUGUAAGACUGGGAUAACUUCGGGAAAUCGAAGCUAAUACCGGAUAGGAUCUUCUCCUUCAUGGGAGAUGAUUGAAAGAUGGUUUCGGCUAUCACUUACAGAUGGGCCCGCGGUGCAUUAGCUAGUUGGUGAGGUAACGGCUCACCAAGGCAACGAUGCAUAGCCGACCUGAGAGGGUGAUCGGCCACACUGGGACUGAGACACGGCCCAGACUCCUACGGGAGGCAGCAGUAGGGAAUCUUCCGCAAUGGACGAAAGUCUGACGGACCAACGCCGCGUGAGUGAUGAAGGCUUUCGGGUCGUAAAACUCUGUUGUUAGGGAAGAACAAGUACGAAAGUAACUGCUCGUACCUUGACGGUACCUAACCAGAAAGCCACGGCUAACUACGUGCCAGCAGCCGCGGUAAUACGUAGGUGGCAAGCGUUAUCCGGAAUUAUUGGGCGUAAAGCGCGCGCAGGCGGUUUCUUAAGUCUGAUG